GGUAUGAUAUAAAAUGCUAACCUCCCCUGUUAUUGUAAUGGUGAGAGGUUAGCAUGUCUUGGGGGUAUGAUAUAAAAAGCUAAACUCUCCUGUUAUUGUAAUGGUGAGAGGUUAGCAUGUCUUGGGGGUAUGAUAUAAAAUGCUAACCUCGCCUGUUAUUGUAAUGGUGAGAGGUUAGCAUGUCUUGGGGGUAUGAUAUAAAAUGCUAACCUCCACUGUUAUUGUAAUGGUGAGAGGUUAGCAUGUCUUGGGGGUAUGAUAUAAAAAGCUAACCUCUCCUGUUAUUGUAAUGGUGAGAGGUUUGUCAUAGGCGUGUGUAUAGGUGGCAAGGAAGUCAGGCGCAGGAGAAUUUAUCUUGGUAAAAUGGAGUAGUGUUGCCUGACGUAAAACACUCCAAAACCAUGAAAAAAUAAACUAAACAAAGUGGAUACGAGGACCAAUACAAACGAUCCGAAAAUAAUAACUAACCAAUAACUAACCAAUAACUAACCAUCUCUGACAAAGACAUGAGGGGAAACAGAGGGUUAAAUACACAACAGGUAAUUGAUGGGAUUGGAAACAGGUGUGUAGGAAGACGAGACGAAACCAACGGAAAAUGAAACAUAGGAACAUUUGCUAUCUAACUGGGAGUCUCCUGAGUGAAAGCAUCUGAAGUUCUUCAAAGGUAAAUUAUUUAAUUUGGUUGCUUUUCUUAAUUAAAGCGAAAAAUGUUGCCUGCUGCCAACACAGCCUAGCAUAGCAUUAUGCCAUGAUAAACUUACACAAAUGCUUGUCUAGCGUUGGCUCUAACGCAUAUUUUGAAAAUCUGAG